CCCUCCGAAGUUUCCCUCAGGAUAGCUGGUGCAUUUUAAUAUUAUAUAAAAUAAUCUUAUCUGGUAAAGCGAAUGAUUAGAGGCCUUAGGGUCGAAACGACCUUAACCUAUUCUCAAACUUUAAAUGGGUAAGAACCUCACCUUUCUUGAUAUGAAGGUUGUGGUUAUGAUAUAAUGUGCCCAGUGGGCCACUUUUGGUAAGCAGAACUGGCGCUGUGGGAUGAACCAAACGUAAUGUUACGGUGCCUAAAUUAACAACUCAUGCAGAUACCAUGAAAGGCGUUGGUUGCUUAAAACAGCAGGACGGUGGACAUGGAAGUCGUAAUCCGCUAAGGAGUGUGUAACAACUCACCUGCCGAAGCAACUAGCCCUUAAAAUGGAUGGCGCUUAAGUUGUAUACCUAUACAUUACCGCUAAAGUACAUGAUUUUAUAAAUAUUUUUAUAUUUAUUAAAUUUUGAAACUUUAGUGAGUAGGAGGGUACAAUGGUGUGCUUAGAAGUGUUUGGCGUAAGCCUGCAUGGAGCCGCCAUUGGUACAGAUCUUGGUGGUAGUAGCAAAUAAUCGAAUGAGACCUUGGAGGACUGAAGUGGAGAAGGGUUUCGUGUGAACAGUGGUUGAUCACGAGUUAGUCGGUCCUAAGUUCAAGGCGAAAGCCGAAAAUUUUCAAGUUUCAAUGCA
rnacentral:rRNA from 2 species